UUCCCUUGUUAAUGAUAUUGUCUUGUUUUGGUUUAUGUCACGCUUUAAACUUGUUUGGGUCAUGUUUCUUGGUUGAUGUGUUCAUUUUGGUGGUUAUGGAACUUCAUACUUUCAUCGAAAUUUCUUGUGCGAAUUUUUACUUGCUUUUUUUUUUUUCAUUAUGCAGAUUUGGUGCUUAUGUUUUUAAUUACAAUGGAUUUAGGAGAAAACUAGUCGGUAACCGGUCGAAAAUCGACGGAAAUAAAUGAAAAUAUAUAAAUAUUUGUAAUUAUUCAAUACAUUUUUUAUUUGAUGAUUUUUUUCACUAAAAUAAAGCAUUAAAUAAAUUUGUUUUAAAGUAAAAGAUGUUAACUAAAUAUAUUUUUACUAAUAUUUAGUCAAACAAUUCUCUCAACUCAGAAGGUAAUUGUAAGAAACUAAUUUUAGACACUUCCACCAAUCCAAUCUGAUUAUGAUGAUUUUAGAAAUUUCUGAUGCUUAAAAGUCAACUUCUGUCUCCCCCUCCAAAAAAAAAAAAAGAAGAAGCAAAUUCCGAAGUCCCAAGCCGAAACAUGAUAGAGUAAAAGAUAAAAUAUAUCCAUCCUCAUAUAACACAUUAUUAUAAUACAAUUAUAUAUAAAAGAAAAGAAAAACCUAAGAAACUCUUGAAAGCACAAAAGAAGCAGACUAAGAGCCGAACCUCAUUAAAACCCUUUUACGGAAAACCCGGUAGGAAAAACCGUAGAAGGAAAAAAGAGUACUCGUCUAAAACGAAAACAAAAAGGAAAGGAAAGAGGAGCGGGAAGGUC
rnacentral:lncRNA from 1 species